rnacentral:rRNA from 1 species
AACUUAAAAGGAAUUGACGGGGACCCGCACAAGCAGCGGAGCGUGUGGUUUAAUUCGUUGCUACACGAAGAACCUUACCUGGGUUUGACAUAUAGGUUGUAGGGAACUGAAAAGGGACCGACCCUUCGGGGAGCCUAUACAGGUGUUGCAUGGCUGUCGUCAGCUCGUGUCGUGAGAUGUUCGGUUAAGUCCGCUAACGAGCGCAACCCUCGUCGUAUGUUAUAUGUGUCAUACGAGACUGCCGGUAAAAAGCCGGAGGAAGGUGAGGAUGAUGUCAAGUCAGCAUGACCUUUAUAUCCAGGGCUACACACACGCUACAAUGGUCUGUACAAUGGGUAGCCAAGCCGCGAGGCGGAGCCAAUCCUGAAAGCAGGCCUCAGUUCAGAUUGCAGUCUGCAACUCGACUGCAUGAAGCCGGAGUUGCUAGUAACCGCAGGUCAGCAAUACUGCGGUGAAUACGUUCCCGGGUCUU